rfam:Actinomyces massiliensis F0489 contig00085, whole genome shotgun sequence.
CGAGCCGACCGGGCGGCCGCGGUACUCCUGGGGGACCGGGAGAUCGAGGAACGUCCGGGCUCCACAGAGCAGGGCGGUGGCUAACGGCCACCCGGGGCGACCCGCGGGACAGUGCCACAGAGAAUAGACCGCCUGUCGGGGAACCGGCUGGUAAGGGUGAAACGGUGGGGUAAGAGCCCACCAGCACCGCAGGUGACUGCGGUGGCUCGGCAAACCCCGCCCGGAGCAAGACCGCACAGCAGGCGCUUGAGGGCUGCUCGCCCGAGCCUGCGGGUAGGUCGCGUGAGCCCGCCGGCAACGGCGGGCCAAGAUGGAUGGUCGCCACCGCCGCCGGCGACGGUCGGCGGUAACAGAACCCGGCGUACAGGUCGGCUCGUUCG